GCGCAAGUUAAAAAUGUCCUAGGUUGU
rnacentral:sRNA from 1 species